AUUGAACGCUGGCGGCAUGCUUUACACAUGCAAGUCGAACGGUAACAGGCCGCAAGGUGCUGACGAGUGGCGAACGGGUGAGUAAUGCAUCGGAACGUGCCCAGUCGUGGGGGAUAACUACUCGAAAGAGUAGCUAAUACCGCAUACGAUCUAUGGAUGAAAGCGGGGGACCGUAAGGCCUCGCGCGAUUGGAGCGGCCGAUGUCAGAUUAGGUAGUUGGUGGGGUGAAGGCUCACCAAGCCAACGAUCUGUAGCUGGUCUGAGAGGACGACCAGCCACACUGGGACUGAGACACGGCCCAGACUCCUACGGGAGGCAGCAGUGGGGAAUUUUGGACAAUGGGCGCAAGCCUGAUCCAGCAAUGCCGCGUGCAGGAAGAAGGCCUUCGGGUUGUAAACUGCUUUUGUACGGAACGAAACGGCUCUGGUUAAUACCCGGGGCUAAUGACGGUACCGUAAGAAUAAGCACCGGCUAACUACGUG
rnacentral:rRNA from 1 species